GCACGUUGUAAAACUUAAUGUCGCAGAGUUUCUAAACUCUUUAUUCGUUUAAAAUUUGAUAAAAUGCAAAUAAAAUUUACCAUCCCUGUCACCUAUCUGUGAAAUUAUGUUUUAUUGAUCAGUGUUUUAAAAUUAUUCAAUAAUUUAUCAACGAAUUCUUCGAAAGCAAAUUGCAUAGUUGCCCAAUGCUAACCAAUCAAAACAAAACGUAAACGGCAGCGUGGUGUGUUUACCGACAGUGUUUUCCCGCAGCUUUUUUCACUAUCGUCGCGCCAUUCAUCGUCGUAGUGUGUUGUGUGUUCUCGCGUAGUAUUUUCGGAAAUACGUGUUCCGCGAGUGUGUAAUAUUCGCGCAUGGUCUCUGGUUGAACCGUAAUAAUACACGCGUGUAGUACCGUAAUCAGUGGUGUAAAGCCAAGGUUAUUGUGUGGACUUCCAAAGUUAGAGACAAAAAAGGUACACUAACGGAGAGUGUAAUAUUUACCUGCCCGCCACCAGCAGCUCUUCAACCCCUUCCGCAUCUAGACUGCGCUGGGCAUCUUCUUGAAUCUGAGGACUGUUCGAGAGCACGCUUAUUGCGUUGAAGCCUAGAAGAUUAAUCAUCAUAACUACAUACUAUUUUCGGCCAACAUCUGUUGUGUGGACUAGUUAGUGCCAUCCCCUCAUCCUAACGCAGUGACAAAAAUAAUUGAAUCCGCCUGUCUACAGCACAGCGGCCACCGCCAUACGAAAAUAUUCCGCUUCGAUUUGGUUCUGUUUUGGUCCGCUUUCGGUCGGUUGACAACAAGAGCAAGCGACCAGAGAGUAAACGACGAAGCGCCGCCGCGAGUUGCAUGUGCUUUUUUUUGCGUCGAAUCGAAAUAAACGAGCCGCCUGCCGUCUGCUUCAGUUCCCCUUCGGAAAGUAAACACACACAAGGUUCCGUUUGUUUACCAUCAGAUUUUCUGUGAUACGAGAGAUAUCGAUAUAGUGGGCGCCUCCGUGCCAGGAAGGACAGGUGCCUUCAUCAAGGAGAUCGGCGAUACGCAGGAGAAGUGAUGUAUGUGGAUAAUCAAAAUAAACAGUAAUUAUACGCGAAAAAUGUAUGUGGUGUUAACUUCAAUUAUCGCCGGCAAAAAAAUUGGUCGUCAAAAGGAGUGUUGUGUGUUCGGACUGUCUAAUAAUGAGCAUCGAUAGGUAUGCGAACGAAAAAUCCCAAAAAUAGAUUCUCCCAUUCAUACAAAAGUGGUUGAUGCAGAUUUUGUUCGACUCGAUUAAAGCAAACACUGACUGAAACGAAACCAAAAAGUACCAAGUAUCGAUGCAAUGGCCUACUGAUUGGUACCGUGUUUACCCUCAAAUCUCUCGUAUGUAUAUCAAACUUUGUAAUCGUAACUAGAUUAGCAGCUCGA